rnacentral:rRNA from 1 species
CCCUUAGAUGUUCUGGGCCGCACACGCGCUACACUGAAGGAGGCAGCGUGUACUCCUGGAUCGAAAGAUUUGGGUAACCCGCGAAUCUCCUUCGUGCUAGGGAUUGAGGUUUGCAAUUAUCCUUCAUGAACGAGGAAUUCCCAGUAAGUGCAAGUCAUAAGCUUGCGCUGACUACGUCCCUGCCCUUUGUACACACCGCCCGUCGCUACUACCGAUUGAAUGAUUUAGUGAGGACUUCGGACUGGGACCGAUGCGGCUUUCGGGCUGCGUCGGUAUUCUGGAAAGAUGUCCACACUGUAUCAUUUAGAGGAAGUAAAAGUCGUANCA